rnacentral:rRNA from 1 species
UGAUAGAAAUUUAAACACUUUUUAAAGUAUCAAUUGGAGGGCAAGUCUGGUGCCAGCAGCCGCGGUAAUUCCAGCUCCAAUAGCGUAUAUUAAAAUUGUUGCAGUUAAAAAGCUCGUAGUUGAAUUUCUGUUAAAAAUAACCGGUCUGCUUUUAUUAAAAGUGGUAUCUUGGUGUGUUUUUAGCAAUAAUGUCCUUUGAAAUGUUUUUUACUUUAUUGUAAUAAGUCGUUAUUUUGAGGAUUUUUACUUUGAGAAAAUUAGAGUGUUUCUAGCAGGCUUACGCUUUUGAAUACUGCAGCAUGGAAUAAUAAGAUAGGAUUUUAGUUCUACAUUAUUGGUUUUAAGAACUAAAUUAAUGAUUGAUAGGGAUAGUUGGGGGCAUUUGUAUUUAACUGUCAGAGGUGAAAUUCUUAGAUUUGUUAAAGACAAACUACUGCGAAAGCAUUUGCCAAAGAUGUUUUCAUUAAUCAAGAACGAAAGUUAGGGGAUCGAAG